rnacentral:rRNA from 1 species
UGACCUGCGGAGGGAUCAUUACCGAGUUUACAACUCCCAAACCCAUGUGAACAUACCUAUUGUUGCUUCGGCGGGAUUGCCCCGGGCGCCUCGUGUGCCCCGGAUCAGGCGCCCGCCUAGGAAACUUAACUCUUGUUUUAUUUUGGAAUCUUCUGAGUAGUUUUUACAAAUAAAUAAAAACUUUCAACAACGGAUCUCUUGGUUCUGGCAUCGAUGAAGAACGCAGCGAAAUGCGAUAAGUAAUGUGAAUUGCAGAAUUCAGUGAAUCAUCGAAUCUUUGAACGCACAUUGCGCCCGCCAGUAUUCUGGCGGGCAUGCCUGUCUGAGCGUCAUUUCAACCCUCAUGCCCCUAGGGCGUGGUGUUGGGGAUCGGCCAAAGCCCGCGAGGGACGGCCGGCCCCUAAAUCUAGUGGCGGACCCGUCGUGGCCUCCUCUGCGAAGUAGUGAUAUUCCGCAUCGGAGAGCGACGAGCCCCUGCCGUUAAACCCCCAACUUUCCAAGGUUGACCUCAGAUCAGGUAGGAAUACCCGCUGAACUUAAGCAUAUCAA